GUAUAAAUGUACAUAAAAUUUUGAAUUUUAAAGUAUUAAAUUGAUUUUUUAAUAAAUAUAGAAAU
rnacentral:tRNA from 1 species